GACGCGUGGGAACGUGCCCUUUUCUAAGGAAUAGCCACUGGAAACGGUGAGUAAUACCUUAUACGCCCUUCGGGGGAAAGAUUUAUCGGAGAAGGAUCGGCCCGCGUUAGAUUAGAUAGUUGGUGGGGUAACGGCCUACUAAGUCUACGAUCUAUAGCUGGUUUUAGAGGAUGAUCAGCAACACUGGGACUGAGACACGGCCCAGACUCCUACGGGAGGCAGCAGUGGGGAAUCUUGGACAAUGGGCGCAAGCCUGAUCCAGCCAUGCCGCGUGAGUGAUAAAGGCCCUAGGGUCGUAAAGCUCUUUCGCCAGAGAUGAUAAUGACAGUAUCUGGUAAAGAAACCCUGGCUAACUCCGUGCCAGCAGCCGCGGUAAUACGGAGGGGGUUCGCGUUGUUCGGAAUUACUGGGCGUAAAGCGCACGUAGGCGGAUCAGAAAGUAUGAGGUGAAAUCCCGGGGCUCAACCCUGGAACUGCCUUGUAAACUCCUGGUCUUGAGUUCGAGAGAGGUGAGUGGAAUUCCGAGUGUAGAGGUGAAAUUCGUAGAUAUUCGGAGGAACACCAGUG
rnacentral:rRNA from 1 species